CAAAGCCACAAGACAAAAGCUGUUUUGCCUGCAAGUCGGAUUAAAGCCCACCAUUGAUUCUCUGCUAACAAGUACUUGCUCAGUGAUUUCAGCACUUCAAUCACUCACGAUUCCAGAACCAUGGCGUUCCUUCUGUUCAUGUUCUAGUUCAUCCUUGUUUACCGUCUAGUUUUCCUGAUCUCAAGACGGAAAGUCAUUCUUCUACACCAGAAGAAAAUCCCCCCCAAACAAAAAGCAAAAGAAAAAAAAUCCCAAAAAAAAGCAAAAACAAGAAAACACAAAAAGAGAGACAGAAGAAUGGAGUUUGUAACAAUUAUGAUCUUUCAUUGGAAGUUGAAUAAUUGAAGUCUUCCCUCCUCCGCUGUUAGCCCCAAGAAACGGGACGCUGCUUCCUGCAGGUCAGACCGGCGAACCACUGUUCUUUGAUAACAAGCCUCAAGACAAGCGACGCUGCUGUGCCUGCGAGUCGGACCCAACCACCGUUCUUUGCCAACACAGGUCUUUCUAUUUGACUCUCAUC